rnacentral:rRNA from 1 species
UACGGGGGGGGUAAGCGUUGUUCGGAAUUACUGGGCGUAAAGAGCUCGUAGGCGGCUCAGUAAGUCGGGUGUGAAACCCUCAGGCUCAACCUGGGGACGCCACCCGAUACUGCUGUGGCUAGAGUCCAGUAGGGGAGUGUGGAAUUCCCGGUGUAGCGGUGAAAUGCGCAGAUAUCGGGAGGAACACCAGCGGCGAAGGCGGCACUCUGGGCUGGUACUGACGCUGAGGAGCGAAAGCGUGGGUAGCAAACAGG